rnacentral:lncRNA from 1 species
CUUUCUAGAUUUAUUCUUCCACCUAUGGUCCAGUUUGUCGCCCAUGUGUACUGGAGUGUACGUGCUUUGCUGACUCCCAAGCUGACUCACCUGCAGCUGAUUUCCAUUUUCUAGUAGACAGUGUGCAAUCUAAAAAUCGCAGUCAAGUGUAAAAUGAGUUUCCACUGCACAUUGCAGAUUACAAAAAAAAAUGGAAAUACAAAUGAUGAAAUGUAACGUUAGAAAUGUUAACGUUACUCGGUUACAAACACGGGUUGUAUUACAUAUGUUGUCAUCAUAAGAAAAGAAGAAUUAAUAUUCACAAUCAAUCACAGAGAUGUAAGUAAAUUUUAGCAUAUCAAACUCUUCAAACGUGACAUAUCACACACAGUAGUGUAAGGUUUCGGUGUGUCAUCCAAUGGUUUUGGUACAGACAAUAAGCAGGGUCAGAGAGAGAUGGAGAAGAACUUCACGUAAAUCGCAUACAUACGUAAUUCAUUGUCUCUAAAAUGUCAACCUCAGGAUAGCAAACAAAAUUUAACAUAUUAACAUUCAUAGUUUUCAAAGAUCCCCAAAAAUAAUACGUGAGACGUUGAAUUUCCUUCUUUCAGGUUCGAAUGCAACGCCAUUUUCAUCUUCUUCAUAGAGGAUUCUUCGUCAACAUAGUCAGGAGGCCUCUUCUCACUUUUAUCAACAUUGGCUGAGGUUUUAAACACUUCUUUAACGGCUGGGGGGUCUUGUUCCUUAUAUUCUGACAGAACGGUUAGAGAUCGUGUAAUUCAACGCGAAGGAGAACGUGCACUUCCAUUUUCGUCGUCACUAUCUCCACAGAUACCGAAGCUUCCCCUCCAUUAAUACCCUCUUUGGAAGCCAUCGACAACUUCCGUCAAGGGGUAGCCAACUUACGACAUUCAACUUUCGACCAUGGGAUAUAGACGGAGCCCAUGGGUAUGUGAGGUAAUGAGAUCGAUCUGUGUAGUAAAUUAACCCCUUUUCUUGAUUAAUUGAUUUGGGGAUCAUGGAUUUGCGUGGAUGGCGGUGUUUAGUUUUCUGCAUGAUGGAGAGAGAGGAAUAUGAAAUGGAUUUUUUGGGAAAGUGCAAGAUAUUGGGAGAAUUGAAUUGACCGUCAUGGAUGCUUUCCAACUUAAUACACUUGCUUAUUUGUUCUCC